rnacentral:rRNA from 1 species
UACGAAGGGGGGCUAGCGUUGCUCGGAAUCACUGGGCGUAAAGGGCGCGUAGGCGGCUUUUCAAGUGGCGGGUGAAAUCCCUCGGCUUAACCGAGGAACUGCCUGCCAGACUGGAUUGCUUGAGUCCGGGAGAGGUGAGUGGAAUUCCCAGUGUAGCGGUGAAAUGCGUAGAGAUGUGGAGGAAUACCGAUGGCGAAGGCAGCCCCCUGGGGAUAACACUGACGCUCAUGCACGAAAGCGUGGGGAGCAAACAGG